CUAUUUUAACAUCUGUUAUAUAUCCGCACUCGAUUUUUAUUGCAGUAUAAUUGUUCUGGUUGAAUAAGCUUGAUCAUUUUCUUGAUUGUCCAAAGAAAAAUAAAAUAAUCAUGCAGAUUAUACAAGGUUCAGUAAAAUGUGGAUCAAUGAUUUGUCGGCUUGGAGGACAAUUUAGAACUAAUAAAAUGGCAACAAUUCCACAAAAUAGAAUUCCUUUUGCAGAAAAAGCAUGUCAUGGAGUUGUUAUGUUCGUAUGUCUUUUAGCUGUUCCAGGAUAUAUUGUAUCAAAUCUUAAAAACUAUAA